rnacentral:rRNA from 1 species
CUACGUAGGGGGCGAGCGUUGUCCGGAAUGAUUGGGCGUAAAGGGCGCGUAGGCGGCCCGGUAAGUCUGGAGUGAAAGUCCUGUUUUUAAGAUGGGAAUUGCUUUGGAUACUGUCGGGCUUGAGUGCAGGAGAGGUAAGUGGAAUUCCCAGUGUAGCGGUGAAAUGCGUAGAGAUUGGGAGGAACACCAGUGGCGAAGGCGACUUACUGGACUGUAACUGACGCUGAGGCGCGAAAGUGUGGGGAGCAAACAGGAUUAGAUACCCUGGUAGUCCACACUGUAAACGAUGAAUGCUAGGUGUAGGGGGUAUUGACCCCUUCUGUGCCGCAGUCAACACAAUAAGCAUUCCGCCUGGGGAGUACGGCCGCAAGGUUGAAACUCAAAUGAAUUGGCGGGG